UCAUGCCAGCAUCUUCUUGCUCAUUCAAUAGAAUUAAUAUGAUGCCACGGAUAUACUGGAUUAAUGUGAUCUUCUUUAUAUGUUCAGAUGCUCAUGUAACUUCAGGCUCUUAUGACAGGGGCAGGUUGCUCUUAUCCUCCUGUCAUUGACCACGGACGUCCUAAACUAACUACACACACAUUCUCAGCUGAUGUGGCUAAA